AUUGAAUUUGAUUCCCAUCCAAGCGCUUCGUUUCAGCGCUGAGUCGCUUUAUUUACUCAGUGUCCCUCCCUAAUUUCCUAGCAGUAAUGUUCAGAAAUACUCCAGUUUUGAUUCAUUUAACUCAUAUUUAGUUUAUCUGCAAUUUCAGGGCGAAAAUUUGAAGAGAAAGUUGAACUAAUUGAAGUCGCCGACAUGGUCAAAAUGCCGAAGCACUUG
rnacentral:lncRNA from 1 species